ACUACGGGGGGCAGCAGUGAGGAAUAUUGGUCAAUGGGCGCGAGCCUGAACUAGCCAAGUAGCGUGAAGGAUGACUGCCCUACGGGUUGUAAACUUCUUUUAUAAAGGAAUAAAGUGAGGCACGUGUGCCUUUUUGUAUGUACUUUAUGAAUAAGGAUCGGCUAACUCCGUGCCAGCAGCCGAGGUAAUACGGAGGCUCCGAGCGUUAUCCGGAUUUUUUGGGUUUAAAAGGAGAGUAGAUGGGUUGUUAAGUCAGUUGUGAAAGUUUGCGGCUCAAACGUAAAAUUGCAAGUGAUACUGGCAGUCUUGAGUACAGUUGAGGUAGGCGGAAUUCGUGGUGUAGCGGUGAAAUGCUUAGAUAUCACGAAGAACUCCGAUUGCGAAGGCAGCUUACUAAACUGCCACUGACAUUGAUGCUCGAAAGUGUGGGUAUCAAACAGGAUUAGAUACCCGGGUAGUC
rnacentral:rRNA from 1 species